GGAGAUUGCAUUUUACGAAGAAGUUAUACAAACUGAGAUGUUAUUUUGCCUUUAGAGCCUGACCAAUUGAUGAGCUAAGAUUUCAUUAUGCUUCCAACUAUAAAUGGCCCUGCUGGAGCUACUCGAAAAACCACCAUAUGUAGAUAUUUUGCUACAAGUGGAACUUGUUUUUACGGGAACGAUUGUCAAUUCUUACACGCUAACCCUAACGUCGAGCCAAACGAUCUGUCGUUAUCGUCAUUAGUGUUGUCUCAACCGUCAUCUAUGGCUAUGAGUAUGAGAGAUUUAUCGGUGAAUAGGUUACCAGAAGGGCCUCCUAAUCCUGUUACAAGUUUGGAUCCUCUGUUUCAAGUAUUUGCACCAACUACAGGAUUACCACCUGAAUCAAAACUUCAAACAUACAUGAAUACCACACCACGCACACUGUCUCCAUCAUUAGAGAAAUCCAAAUCCUUUGUGCCUUCAUCCUCCAACCUGCAUUUUGAUGAUGUUACAAGUGCCAUGGCUGCUCUAGCUGUUGAAACUUCAAGAAAGACUCCAAAUCCUAGUGCAGCAGAGUUUGUUCCUAUGUCAUCUGUUUUGAGACCAUCUCAGGGACGUUUAACUCACAGUAUGAGUACCCCAUCUUUUUUCCAAUAUGCUCUGAGUACAGCAGGUUUGACAGCCAGUACACCUUUUGGCAGAUUUGAUAUGUCACAGGGUCACAGUCCAUGUUUGUCUCCUGACCAAUCUCCUUUGGUUAGUAGAAAAUCGCGGUCUCCAUUAACAACAACUUUUGUUGGAGGCCCUGCUUUAACUUCUACAACUACGACAACCCAAGACCAGUUCCCAUCAUCAGGGACAGUCUAUCAACAAGAAUCAGUUGGAGGAACGACAUAUUUUUUUGCUGCAGAAGAAACUGGAACAUCUCCAAAAGAAACACCUGCACCAGUUGUUAUGCCAGAUUUUACACUGUACUCGGGAAAUCCUGCACAUAUUGAACACAUGAAACCAAAAGCCAACGCCCCUUCAUUCUUUCUUCCUGAUGAACUCAGAAUGGAUAUUUUGCAUAGGCGCACUUUAACCUUAACUGAAGGCAAUCCUCAACACUAUAAAGAGCUUCCCUCUGAGGUUGAUAACUACCACAACCUGUGUCCCUUGGAGCCCACAAAAGGUGCUCCCACCAAAUCUGCAACAUUUCGUUUUGUGACUUCUGUUUAUAAGGCCACAAACAUCAAAACCGGUGUUCAUUACUGUUUGAGAAGGAUACAUGGUUUUCGACUGACCAAUGCAAAGUGUAUGACAGUAGUAGAAGCCUGGAAGAAAAUUCAGCACUCUAAUUUAGUGCAUUUAAGAGAAGUCUUUACUACCAAAGCCUUCAGUGAUCAUUCUAUUGUGUUUGUAUAUGAUUACUAUCCUGGAGCUGAUAAUCUGAUGAACCAGUAUUUCAGCCAGCCAGGACUCACCAUUGGUAUCAAUGGAUACCAUUCAACAAUGUUCAAUAAUGUAGAUGGAAUGGCUAGAUCGUACGCACAAAACAAAGCUUUAGGUGGGUUGAGGCAACAUGCAGGACUCUUACCUGAGAGCCAGAUUUGGGCCUAUGUUGUACAGCUAAGUUCAGCCUUACGAACAAUUCAUGCUGCUGGCCUUGCAUGUAGAGCCUUUGAACCUACAAAGAUUCUUAUCACAGGGAAGUCCAGGUUGCGACUUAAUUGUUGUGGAAUUUUUGAUGUACUUAGUUAUGAUGCCAGCCAGGUAAACCCAAAAGAUCUCAUACAUCAUUUCCAGCAAGAAGAUCUGUUAGCCUUUGGUAAGGUGGUGCUAGCUCUAGCCUGCAACUCCUUAGUAGCUGUACAACGGGAAAAUUUACAGGCCUCCAUGGAGCUUGUUUCAAGAAACUACUCUGCUGAUCUCAGAAACCUGCUAAUGUACCUGCUUUCAAGCCAGACACGUGCACGAAGCAUUAAUGAAAUCAUGCCAAUGAUUGGUGCUAGAUUCUACACUCAGCUUGAUGCGGCACAGAUGAGAAGUGAUGUAAUAGAAAAUGAACUAGCAAAAGUAGGUUUAAACUCUGGAUACACCUAUAGGAAGGAAAUGUAAUUUCAAGCUGGACUUAAAGCUAAAUUGCAUUUUAUAUCAACCGUUUUAAGGAAAUAAACCAGGAUGUUGAAAAUGGAAGAUUACUUCGAUUGCUCAUAAAACUAGGAACCAUCAACGAACGACCUGAGUAUCACAUGGAUCCUUCAUGGGCUGAGACUGGAGAUUGUUACCUGUUGAAGCUGUUUAGAGAUUAUCUGUUCCACCAGGUGACAGAAGAUGGCAGGCCCUGGAUAGACAUGGCCCACGUUGUGCAGUGUUUGAAUA
rnacentral:misc_RNA from 1 species